rnacentral:rRNA from 1 species
UAAGCGACUAAGCGUACACGGUGGAUGCCCUGGCAGUCAGAGGCGAUGAAGGACGUGCUAAUCUGCGAAAAGCGUCGGUAAGGUGAUAUGAACCGUUACAGCCGGCGAUGUCCGAAUGGGGAAACCCAGUGCAAUUCGUUGCACUAUCGUUUGAUGAAUACAUAGUCAAACGAGGCGAACCGGGGGAACUGAAACAUCUAAGUACCCCGAGGAAAAGAAAUCAACCGAGAUUCCCCCAGUAGCGGCGAGCGAACGGGGAGCAGCCCGGAGUCUGAAUCAGCUUGUGUGUUAGUGGAAGCGUCUGGAAAGUCGCAGGGUACAGGGUGAUACUCCCGUACACUAAAACGCACAGGUUGUGAACUCGAAGAGUAGGGCGGGACACGUGGUAUCCUGUCUGAAUAUGGGGGGACCAUCCUCCAAGGCUAAAUACUCCUGACUGACCGAUAGUGAACCAGUACCGUGAGGGAAAGGCGAAAAGAACCCCGGCGAGGGGAGUGAAAAAGAACCUGAAACCGUGUACGUACAAGCAGUAGGAGCCCACUAGUUGGGUGACUGCGUACCUUUUGUAUAAUGGGUCAGCGACUUAUAUUCUGUAGCAAGGUUAACCGUAUAGGGGAGCCGCAGGGAAACCGAGUCUUAACUGGGCGUUAAGUUGCAGGGUAUAGACCCGAAACCCGGUGAUCUAGCCAUGGGCAGGUUGAAGGUUGGGUAACACUAACUGGAGGACCGAACCGACUAAUGUUGAAAAAUUAGCGGAUGACUUGUGGCUGGGGGUGAAAGGCCAAUCAAACCGGGAGAUAGCUGGUUCUCCCCGAAAGCUAUUUAGGUAGCGCCUCGUGAACUCAUCUUCGGGGGUAGAGCACUGUUUCGGCUAGGGGGUCAUCCCGACUUACCAACCCGAUGCAAACUACGAAUACCGAAGAAUGUUAUCACGGGAGACACACGGCGGGUGCUAACGUCCGUCGUGAAGAGGGAAACAACCCAGACCGCCAGCUAAGGUCCCAAAGUCAUGGUUAAGUGGGAAACGAUGUGGGAAGGCCCAGACAGCCAGGAUGUUGGCUUAGAAGCAGCCAUCAUUUAAAGAAAGCGUAAUAGCUCACUGGUCGAGUCGGCCUGCGCGGAAGAUGUAACGGGGCUAAACCAUGCACCGAAGCUGCGGCAGCGACACUAUGUGUUGUUGGGUAGGGGAGCGUUCUGUAAGCCGUUGAAGGUGGCCUGUGAGGGUUGCUGGAGGUAUCAGAAGUGCGAAUGCUGACAUAAGUAACGAUAAUGCGGGUGAAAAACCCGCACGCCGGAAGACCAAGGGUUCCUGUCCAACGUUAAUCGGGGCAGGGUGAGUCGACCCCUAAGGCGAGGCCGAAAGGCGUAGUCGAUGGGAAACAGGUUAAUAUUCCUGUACUCGGUGUUACUGCGAAGGGGGGACGGAGAAGGCUAUGUUGGCCGGGCGACGGUUGUCCCGGUUUAAGCAUGUAGGCGGAUGUUCCAGGUAAAUCCGGAACGUUACUAACGCUGAGGUGUGAUGACGAGGCACUACGGUGCUGAAGUGACAAAUGCCCUGCUUCCAGGAAAAGCCUCUAAGCAUCAGGUAACAUCAAAUCGUACCCCAAACCGACACAGGUGGUCAGGUAGAGAAUACCAAGGCGCUUGAGAGAACUCGGGUGAAGGAACUAGGCAAAAUGGUGCCGUAACUUCGGGAGAAGGCACGCUGAUGGUAAGUGAAGCGACUUGCUCGUGGAGCUGAAAUCAGUCGAAGAUACCAGCUGGCUGCAACUGUUUAUUAAAAACACAGCACUGUGCAAACACGAAAGUGGACGUAUACGGUGUGACGCCUGCCCGGUGCCGGAAGGUUAAUUGAUGGGGUUAUCCGUAAGGAGAAGCUCUUGAUCGAAGCCCCGGUAAACGGCGGCCGUAACUAUAACGGUCCUAAGGUAGCGAAAUUCCUUGUCGGGUAAGUUCCGACCUGCACGAAUGGCGUAAUGAUGGCCAGGCUGUCUCCACCCGAGACUCAGUGAAAUUGAACUCGCUGUGAAGAUGCAGUGUACCCGCGGCAAGACGGAAAGACCCCGUGAACCUUUACUAUAGCUUGACACUGAACACUGGUCCUUGAUGUGUAGGAUAGGUGGGAGGCUUUGAAGUGUGGACGCCAGUCUGCAUGGAGCCAUCCUUGAAAUACCACCCUUUAAUGGCUGGUGUUCUAACGUGGGCCCCUGAUCGGGGUUGCGGACAGUGUCUGGUGGGUAGUUUGACUGGGGCGGUCUCCUCCUAAAGAGUAACGGAGGAGCACGAAGGUCAGCUAAUCCUGGUCGGACAUCAGGAGGUUAGUGCAAUGGCAUAAGCUGGCUUGACUGCGAGCGUGACGGCGCGAGCAGGUGCGAAAGCAGGUCAUAGUGAUCCGGUGGUUCUGAAUGGAAGGGCCAUCGCUCAACGGAUAAAAGGUACUCCGGGGAUAACAGGCUGAUACCGCCCAAGAGUUCAUAUCGACGGCGGUGUUUGGCACCUCGAUGUCGGCUCAUCACAUCCUGGGGCUGAAGUAGGUCCCAAGGGUAUGGCUGUUCGCCAUUUAAAGUGGUACGCGAGCUGGGUUUAGAACGUCGUGAGACAGUUCGGUCCCUAUCUGCCGUGGGCGCUGGAGAAUUGAGGGGGGCUGCUCCUAGUACGAGAGGACCGGAGUGGACGCAUCACUGGUGUUCGGGUUGUCAUGCCAAUGGCAUUGCCCGGUAGCUAAAUGCGGAAGAGAUAAGUGCUGAAAGCAUCUAAGCACGAAACUUGCCCCGAGAUGAGUUCUCCCUGACCCUUUAAGGGUCCUGAAGGAACGUUGAAGACGACGACGUUGAUAGGCCGGGUGUGUAAGCGCAGCGAUGCGUUGAGCUAACCGGUACUAAUGAACCGUGAGGCUUAAUCU